AUUGAACGCUGGCGGCAUGCUUUACACAUGCAAGUCGAACGGUAACAGGCCGCAAGGUGCUGACGAGUGGCGAACGGGUGAGAAAUGCAUCGGAACGUGCCCAGUCGUGGGGGAUAACGCAGCGAAAGUUGCGCUAAUACCGCAUACGAUCUAUGGAUGAACGCGGGGGACCGUAAGGCCUCGCGCGAUUGGAGCGGCCGAUGUCAGAUUAGGUAGUUGGUGGGGUAAAGGCUCACCAAGCCGCAGAUCUGUAGCCGGUCUGGGAGGACGAGCAGCCACACUGGGACUGAGACACGGCCCAGACUCCUACGGGAGGGAGAAGUGGGGAAUUUUGGAGAAUGGGCGCAAGCCUGAUCCAGCAAUGCCGCGUGCAGGAAGAAGGCCUUCGGGUUGUAAACUGCUUUUGUACGGAACGAAACGGUCCUGGUUAAUACCCGGGGCUAAUGACGGUACCGUAAGAAUAAGCACCGGCUAUCUACGUGCCAGCCGCCGCCGUAA
rnacentral:rRNA from 1 species